UUUCCGUAGGUGAACCUGCGGAAGGAUCAUUACUGAAGUGAGUAUUCAUCAUUGACGCUUCUUCCAAUUGUGCUGGUUUAGACCGUAUGUAAUGUUAGGGAUUAACCAUGGUUGAAAUUUAUUUUAGCCGUCCCCAACAAUCUAUCUUAUCCUUUAUUACAUUGAACUGAACUCAUUUUGAGAUUACAUAAAAAAUAAUCUUUUAAUACAACUUUCAACAACGGAUCUCUUGGUUCUC
rnacentral:misc_RNA from 1 species